AGCCCCCUUCUGUUAACCCAGCUUCUGGGUGCUGUCCCUUUGAGUUGCCUGACACCUCCUGCACCAAAGCCACACCGUCCGUCUUGAUUGCUGUCAUUCUGUAGUGAAUUCGAGGUUGUGAUGUACUUGCCUCCACCACCAGGACAAGUCUGCUGUUGAGAGUGGGUUUCAGGCACGGUGUGAUCCAGCACUCAGCGGCACUCUGAAGGACCUGUUUUGUCUGGCAUCUUCAGCACAGGCUCACCUCAGUUAAUGCAAGCUCAAUAUAAGCAUGCAAGCUAGAAUCCUGAGUCUCUCUGCACGUCGAGAACGCCCACGAGCCGCAGUAGCCAUGAGAAUUUGUAUUGGGCAAGAUGGAGACUGUGAGAAUGAGCUUGCAACUCUUGGAGCCCAAGGAUGCUGUCAG
rnacentral:lncRNA from 1 species